rnacentral:lncRNA from 1 species
AACUGACAUAAAUAAAAGGCAGUACAACAAAUGUCAUGUAAAUAUUUUACAAUUUAAAAAUAUAUAUAAUUAUUUUAUUAUUCAUUUUGUUUUAGAAUAUUUUGCAAUAUGUAAUAAGUAUGGGGAUACCUGCCGGUCAUAAACAAUGUCACUUUAAAAAUAAAUGAUGUAUUAUACUUGUAUGUUGUUGCGUUGUAUUCUUGCUGUGUUUGUUGCAUCAUAUUGAUUUCCUGCUGUGUCGAAUAAAGCAUAAUGGUAAAUCUGCUAAUCUGCUAGUCCUGAAACUUUGUGGAGAAGGUUGACAAUGGCACCACCUUGUGCAAAAUCUGAUCAUAACAGUUGAUUUCAAAGCGCAACUCUCUGACUACAUACACGUACAUAAACUGCAAGCGACGCGACAAACUACAACGGUUUCUAUUAUAAUGAACAACUCUGCGACGCGGUGAAAUGAAGUUUGUCGCGUCGCGUCAGAUGGGGCUUGAGCGUCGGGGCGUCGCCUUGGCUCGACCCGAACCAAUCGGGAUUCCGCUCAGAACUUUGUAAACAACACAGUUGCACGCUGUAUGAAAACUUUACUACGAGAGGAUGUCGCGUGCCGAGGACCGCCAGAACAUCACUCAACCAGAAGCAUCUUCACAUUAUGGCUGCAGGAUCUGAUGUCUGCCAAACAAGCGUGGGAACUGACCUGGCCCAUCCACAGCAGCCUCAUCUGCAGCCUGUAAUGAUGGAACCUCAAUGACAUCAUACACGUUUUGGAGCAGGGCUCUGGUAGCUGCGCCGUACGCCUCAUCCAAAUACCAGUGGCUAAACGGAACACACACGCCGAGCUGAGCAAUGGAAGUCAGAUGGUCUGCGUUUUCUUUCUUCCUUUCCCCCCUUCAGACUCAAGUGUAAGCGGCUGUCGGGAUUUAGAGAGAAAGAGACCGAGGGGCCUCCGCGAGGGUCGGCCUCGACUGUAAAUGUCGGAAAGCGAACACAGGCCUUCGUAACAAAGUGGAAUCUGAUAUAAUUUACCCCAGGCUGCACUGUUUGAUCUUCACCUACUUCAGGGUGCUUGUCAGAGCCGUGGAGGGGGGACUGAUGCAGCUUAUGGGCCGAAAAGUCGGCGUUUAUAAUCUGACGUCAUGUGCGUUGAAAAGUAUUUUCAUGUGUGGGUUGACAUUUUGAAAGUUGCGGAUUGUAUGCAAGCAUUGCUGCUGUUUUCUUUUCAUGCUUCCUGCAUAAAUGUAGUCAUAUUUAGUUACCUCCAAGGACUCUUGUAAUGUAAAACACUGCCUUCACUUCAUUCCUCAUUGGCCAAUCUAGGCAUCUUGAAUGUUUGCAUUGCUAUGUAACGUAGCCUUUGCUAUGUAACGAAAACUAGAUGUUCAAUAGGGCAAUAUAGAGCCAUUUUAUUUUAUAUACACGAAGAAACUGACCCUACACAAGAUUUUUUCACAAUUAUUUUUUUUUUAGCAUUUAGCUUUGGUUGGAGUAGCUUAGCGGUUAGCGCUCAUGCACUGACACAUGGCGCUCAUGUUGAGUUUUUUGAUCCCAGUCCUCUGUGUUCAUCAUUUUCUGGCCUGUUAAUUAUUUAUUUAUUUAUUUACUUUUGUUGUAUUUAAACAUUAAACAUCAAAUCAAAUUACAUAAUCAUCUCAGAUCUGUUUUUUUUUUUGUCAUUUUUUUAUUUUUGCAUUUUUAAGAAUAAUAUAAUUAUAAUAUUAUUAUAUACUUAUAAUAUAUUAUAAUAUAUAAAUAUAGAGCCAUUUUAUUUUAUAUACACGAAGAAACUGACCCUACACAAGAUUUUUUCUACAAUUAUUUUUUUUUUAGCAUUUAGCUUUGGUUGGAGUAGCUUAGCGGUUAGCGCUCAUGCACUGACACAUGGCGCUCAUGUUGAGUUUUUUGAUCCCAGUCCUCUGUGUUCAUCAUUUUCUGGCCUGUUAAUUAUUUAUUUAUUUAUUUACUUUUGUUGUAUUUAAACAUUAAACAUCAAAUCAAAUUACAUAAUCAUCUCAGAUCUGUUUUUUUUUUUUGCAUUUUUUUAUUUUUGCAUUUUUUAAGAAUAAUAUAAUUAUAAUAUUAUUAUAUACUUAUAAUAUAUUAUAAUAUAUAAUAAUAUAAU